CCUUUUUGGGAUCCACUUUGAUGUAUGGCUUUCCAAUACGAUCGUCAACUCGAUUGAUGUUUAUUGGAGUACGAUGUGGGGGGUUGGGAAUUUCGACAAUGUCAUGAAGUCCUUCAAAAGAAGGAAUGGCAGUGUUCACCUCGAUGAUAAUCUUUUCCGCAAGUUGCAUAAGUUCCGGACUCGCACCAACUGAUGCGCCGGGAACAAUUCCGCCGUCCUCGGUAAUGGCUGUGGCCUCAAUAAUGGCUGUGUCAAUUGUAUUACUUUCACGAUUACGAGUAUAGUAGCCAUAAAGUAAAUCUUGGGGAAACAUGGAUAAAUGCUUGUCGAAAAACUGAAUUCUGCCAGAGUUAAUUCCUUUAGAAAUUGGCUUUCCUACUUGAUGAGGACACCGGCGCUCAAUCAUAUUCAAUUCAGCCCACUUGCAUUCCGUAUCAGCACCUCCCGAGGCACCAACGAACAAUUUAAAACGCAAUUUUCCUUGCAAAUUGUUCUCUUCGACAUGUCUUGCUAACGCGUUUGGAAUCAUUUUAGGAUAACCGACACCAGUAAAACCAGACCAACCAACAUAGUCCCCAUUUUUAAAGUACGGAACCAACUUGGCAGGAUCCGUAACAAUUUUUUUGGCAAAUUCGGCAUUGCGAAUGCGUGAACUCAGAAGAGACGGCAUUGUAUCAACAAAAAGAAGAGAAGAGGAAGGAAAUAUUAAAACGUUGAACUAGUAAAAGUCAAAUUCAAAAGCGAUAAAACAAGAAAAAAAAGAAAAGAAAAAGAAAUCUUUCAAUGAAGAAUCUGGGCGACAGAUAAAUAAUCAGAAUAUGCUCAAAAACGCUUUUUUGGGCUUAAAAGAUAAUUUUAAUUUGUUGAAUGUACACUCUUUUUUACUUUUAAAUAAGAAAAUGAAUCAACCAAAAGUGGUUGUUCUUGUGACAAAUAUGUAACUGCUCAGUAACAGAUUUACAAACCCAAGGAUCACAGAUAUCGGUAAGAUAUGGAAUGAUGAUUGCAAAAAAAAAGCCGGAAUGAUGAAUGUAUGCGCGACUUGAUUUUAGCAAAGUAGACCAAAAUUGUGACGAAAAAAAGAGACAGAAUUUGCGAAAUAGGAAAAGGGUAAAAGGUUGACCGGGUGAAAAUCUUCAAUAAUAAAAGGGCGUAAACUUUGUUUAAACAAUGUGUUUCGAAAAAAAGUGUUGUUUGCUUAUUUGUUUUCCGGGGAAGGAAGGUGUUUUUUUAUGGUGAUUUAGUCACAGAAACGGAAGAAUAUGAAUGAGAGUAAAUAUAAUGAAAAUCCCAAGUAGAGUAGCGUUUUGCCCUAUUAAAUGACAAAACCCGAGUGUGUUGACUUUGGCAGACGUUUUGUUAUAUCUGUAAAAGAAUUAAGGAUAAGGAGAACAAAUGUAGGUAGGUAAGUUAGUAGUAAAGCGAACACGAACGAACCGAUGCAAGAAGAAAGAGUCAAAUGAUUAAAUUAAACUGAAUAGAGGUGAAAGGGGGGUGAAAAGAUAUUAAAUCAAAGAAACUUCAACAAAAUAACCAAAGAUUCAGCUGUUUAAAAGCCAAAUUUCAAAAUCCUGGAAAUUGUUUUGUUUUGAUCUCAACGACGCUAAUGACAAUCAGAAGUAUCGAUUAUAAGAGUGAAUUACACUCAAUUUUUGUAAAUAUACCAAAAUACUUAUGGAUGGUAGUUGUUAGGUUAGGAAUUCAAGUGUUGAAAUGGAAUUCACCUUGUUUUAUAUGUGUAAAAUAAGGUUUCACCUAGAGCCUAUGGAGGGUCAUUCAUUGGAAUCGCACAUUCAAGCAGGUAGGGAAUCAAAACAAAUGCAGUACGUAUAAGGGAGUGAGGCAAAUUACGGUAAAAAGAUAGUGCCGAGAAUGCUUGCUUACGUUGUAAUUUCUAUAACAAAUUUUGUAGAAAUCCUGCUAAAUAAUUAAUAACGAUAAAUCACGAAAUAUUUUGUUUUUCAGUUUAAGUCAGAAUUAAG